CACACCGCCCGUCACAUCAUGAAAGCCGGUUGUACCCGAAGUCCACUCCGCCAACCCGCAAGGGAAGCGGUGGCCGAAGGUAUGGCUGGUGAUUGGGAUG
rnacentral:rRNA from 1 species